rnacentral:rRNA from 1 species
UACGUAGGGUGCAAGCGUUGUCCGGAAUUAUUGGGCGUAAAGAGCUCGUAGGUGGCCUGUCGCGUCGGCUGUGAAAACUCGGGGCUCAACUCCGAGCUUGCAGUCGAUACGGGCAGGCUAGAGUUCGGCAGGGGAGACUGGAAUUCCUGGUGUAGCGGUGAAAUGCGCAGAUAUCAGGAGGAACACCGGUGGCGAAGGCGCGUCUCUGGGCCGAUACUGACACUGAGGAGCGAAAGCGUGGGGAGCGAACAGG